GCGGGCGUUGCUGCAAGGCGCUUCUCUGCGAGUCCGAGCUAGCGCGCCAUCCCGGCGGCGGCUUCUGGGGUCUGCAUCGCCGCGUCCUCGCCAGCCGUCCCAGCCUUUCACGUCCGGUCUGACCUCGAGGCGGGGCCCACCAAGAAUCCCGUGGCCGUUUCCUAACCGAUGGGGUUAAGGGGAAAACGCGCCGGAAAAGGGCAGCCGGCCGUGUUCGCCGUUGUGUCGGUCACAGCGACGUUGGGCGGUUUGUAAGCGUGUGGACGGAGCUGUCGCCAGGAGCGGCGGACAAGCCGAGGGCCGGGCCCGCCGACGGACCCAGGCGAUCUCCUCCCGGAAAAGCCGACUCUAGCCGGUCGUCGUGAGACACUUUGGGGUUUUAAUGAGGAAUUUUGCCGAAGGAGACCAACGGGCUCGUGAGGGCGUCCGGCAGAUGACGGAGCUGAAGUUGGAUGGAAUUGGGGAAGACACUGGGAGGAGGCUUUCCCGGCAGAGGAAACCGGCUCCUGUUACUGUGCAGCGUCUCCAGAAAAGCCCACUCAAAAUGAAACCCUGAGAAUCGAUUUCCUUCCUACUAGGCAAGGCGGUCCCCAGGCCAGUGUGCCACGGCCUUUCUGGGUGCUCAAGGGCACCGGACUCCCACCCAACUGUCCCCAAGAAAAGCUCGGAAGACCCAGCGUAGGGGAAUGAAGAGUCCUUGUGUGAAUCCAGGUCGGCAGGGUCCCAGAUUAUAGUUCAGGCCUUGGCAACAUCUUACUUCAUUCCCUGCGGGAUGCAGCCAGUACAGCUGCUCUGCCAGGGAUGGUUUUAACAGCGCUGCAUGAUCGGCCCCUUCCUACCUGUCUGGAGUAUCCUUGCCCUGAAUCCUGUGUUUCACACACUCAGGAUUGCUUGCUAUUUCUAAUUCUGUGCCUCCCUGCCUUGGUCCUUAUUGCUCCUUCUCUCUGUGAUAAUGCUUUCCUUCACCUCCACUUGGUCAAACCGGUUUUAUCAUUCAGGACCCACUUCAUUUGCUGAAAAUCCUUCCCCUAAUUUCACAAGCAGGACAUCUUCCUUGUGUCUAAGGCACUUUCACUGGAGCUAUUUGUUUUCCAUGCCAACUGAAAACAGCCAGGAACAUGGCUGUACAAGAAAAUAAUAAAAGGUUAGGUUUAUUCAACUUGCUGCAGCAAAGGAAUGCACCAGAGGACACAUUAGAUAACUGAGACAACUGGCAGUGAGGGCGAUGAUGAACGAAACAUUUGAAACAUCUGCGUGAAGACACUGGCAAGCCCAGCAUGGUGAUCAGGCUCAGCCGCCGUGGGUGAGCCGGGACCGGCAUGUGCCUGAAUCACCUCGAGAUUUACCCUUAGAUAAAUGUGCAGUCACAUCACGACGGUCUCUGAGUUCCGCCUGGUCCCUGCGCUGCUUCCACACCAUCCGACAUCCGUCUCUGCUCUGCAUUCUGCUUCUUGGCCACUCCGAGCUGGGUCUUUGUUAGGACGUUUCAGCCUUGACAGAAGAUCCAAAGCAGGAGGUGAAGCCUGGGGCCGGGGUGGGCAAGAGAAGCUCAAAUGUCCCUGCGCAUCCCCCGGCUGGGCCCCAGGCAGGCCCUGCUCGAGGCUCACCUCCGCAUCCUGUCCUCUCUCAGUGGCCUGAUGCAUCACGUGGCCAGGGACUGUCAUGCUGGGAAUGACCUUCACAAGCCCCCAGCAGCCAGGAGACGAGAUCAGGGUGGCUUCACCAGAAGGGGGCGCUGGGCAACUGGACUUGUUAAAAGCUUCUGUAACCCUCUCCUGCUGCCCUGC